rnacentral:rRNA from 1 species
GACUAACGCUGGCGGCGUGCCUAACACAUGCAAGUCGAACGGGGCCCUGGUUCGCCAGGGUCUAGUGGCAGACGGGUGAGUAACACGUAGGUAAUGUACCCUCUUGCUGGGGAUACCUGUCCGAAAGGAUGGUUAAUACCGAAUGAGCCACGACCGGGGCAUCCUGGUGGUGGCAAACUGGCAACGGGCGAGAGGAUCAGCCUGCGGACCAUCAGCUGGUUGGUGGGGUAACGGCCUACCAAGGCGACGACGGUUAGCCGGUUUGAGAGGACGAUCGGCCACACUGGGACUGAAACACGGCCCAGACUCCUACGGGAGGCAGCAGUGAGGAAUAUUGCGCAAUGGGCGAAAGCCUGACGCAGCGACGCCGCGUGAGGGAUGAAGGCCUUCGGGUCGUAAACCUCUGUCAGUGGGGAAGAGAACGGACGGUACCCACUGAGGAAGCAUCGGCUUACUACGUGCCAGCAGCCGCGGUAAUACGUAGGAUGCAAGCGUUGUCCGGAUUUACUGGGCGUAAAGAGCUCGUAGGCGGGGACGCGCGUCUCGGAGGAAAUUCCAGGGCUCAACCCUGGAGCUUUCCGAGAUACGGCGUCUCUUGAGGGCAGAAGAGGAGAACAGAAUUCCCGGUGUAGCGGUGAAAUGCGUAGAUAUCGGGAGGAAUACCAGUGGCGAAGGCGGUUCUCUGGUCUGUCUCUGACGCUGAGGAGCGAAAGCGUGGGUAGCGAACG